rnacentral:rRNA from 1 species
UACAGAGGGUGCGAGCGUUAAUCGGAAUUACUGGGCGUAAAGGGCGCGUAGGUGGUUUGAUAAGAUGGUUGUGAAAUACCCGGGCUUAACCUGGGAAUGGCAAUCAAGACUGUUAGACUUGAGUGUGGUAGAGGGUAGUGGAAUUUCCGGUGUAGCGGUGAAAUGCGUAGAGAUCGGAAGGAACACCAGUGGCGAAGGCGGCUACCUGGACUAACACUGACACUGAGGCGCGAAAGCGUGGGGAGCGAACAGG